CAGCAGCCGCGGGAAUACGUAGGUGGCAAGCGUUGUCCGGAAUUAUUGGGCGUAAAGCGCGCGCAGGUGGUUUAAUAAGUCUGAUGUGAAAGCCCACGGCUCAGCCUGGGAAUUGCAUUUCAUACUGGGUCGCUAGAGUACUUUAGGGAGGGGUAGAAUUCCACGUGUAGCGGUGAAAUGCGUAGAUAUAUGGAGGAACACCGGUGGCGAAAGCGGCUCUCUGGUCUGUAACUGACGCUGAGGCUCGAAAGCGUGGGGAGCAAACAGGAUUAGAUACCCCGGUAGUCCCUGUCUCUUAUAC
rnacentral:rRNA from 1 species